ncrna:unclassified sequences Rhodo-rpoB RNA
AAGUCGGGAGGCUGCCUGUGGGAAGGUGGCUACGAAUAGACUUGAGCCCAUCAUCUCAAAGGGGCAGCGCACCGUAGCCCGACGGUGUGCAUC